rnacentral:rRNA from 1 species
AAAUUGUUGAAAGGGAAGCGCUUGUGACCAGACUUGCGCCGGGCGGCUCAUCAGGGGUUCUCCCCUGUGCACUCCGCCCGGCUCAGGCCAGCAUCGGUUCUCGUGGGAGGAUAAGAACAGUGGGAACGUGGCCCCCUUUCGGGGGGGUGUUAUAACCCACCGUACGAUACCCCCGUGGGGACCGAGGUUCGCGCUCCGCAAGGAUGCUGGCGUAAUGGUCAUCAGCGACCCGUCUUGAAACACGGACCAAGGAGUCGUCCAUUAGAGCGAGCGUUUGGGUGUAAAACCCGCACGCGUAAUGAAAGUGAACGCAGGUGAGAGCUUCGGCGCAUCAUCGACCGAUCCUGAUGUCUUCGGAUGGAUUUGAGUAAGAGUUUUAACGGACGGACCCGAAAGACAGUGAACUAUGCUUGUAUAGGGUGAAGCCAGAGGAAACUCUGGUGGAGGCUCGCAGCGGUUCUGACGUGCAAAUCGAU